rnacentral:misc_RNA from 1 species
AAUAAAUAGAAGUUCACAUCGUAUAAUAUACAGUAAUACAAGAGAAUCGAACUCCACAAAUAAAAUUGAAGAUAGAUAGGGCUAAAAUUAGUUACAUUUAUCUCCUAGAUUUUGUAUACCUAUACACUAAGGCUACAGAAGGUCAAAAUGGGUGUCAUACUACAUGAAAGAUAUUUCUUAUUUGGACUACUUCACAGGACUGCUCUAUAGUGGAGAUGGCGAAAUACAACAAUCUGUUUUGGCCAACAUAAUUAGAAGUUAAACUCCAUAUUGGAAGCCUUACCACAUGAUGCAUCUUAAAGCUGAAUGACAAAACUGGCAACUCUUGGCCAUGGGAGUGCUAUGAAUCCCAAUGAUCCGUUAAGUCCCCUCCAUGUUAUUUUUGUUUUUUCCAGGGUUACAGCUUGGAAUAGCAGUUCCCAUAUAUUAUAUCACAGCAUAACCUGUACAUUUGUUCAAGCUGUUCCAGUAAUCAAUCUUUCUCGUUCAUCUAAUUUUUUAACCUUCAGAAGGCCAAACAGGACUUGGAAGCCAAAGAAUGCACAGGCAGUGUACGCUAUAAUAGAGGGGAUACGGACGGAGUUGAGAUACAAAAUUGUAGCUAGGUUAACCAAGCUUCCAGCGGCUACUCCACUUCCAAUUGUCUUCUGAACAGCAGCAACACGUUGGAAAGCCCUUUCAGAUUCUAAAGCUCUAACCCGAAGCUUAAGGUCACCUUGCUCCAGUCGCUGGAUAAUUGCAGCAAGUUUCUCAACUCUAUCAGCCUGCCUGAACAAGUUGUAGAAUGCCUGAGACUGUCUGUCCCAUCUCUUCCUGAAGUCCUUUACCGCGACUUCAAUACCAGCUUCACGAAACCUAAGCAACUCUAGGGCAUAGGGUUUGGCUAUCUCAGUGAUAUCAAAUCGUGGAUCAAGACCCUUCCCAAUGCCAUCCAAAACUGAAAAUGCUCUAACCACAAAAGUAAAUGUGGCAGGAAAUCGGAAUGGCUGAUCUGCUGCAAUGGCUAGUAGAUCUUCACCAAUUGCAGCCAAACGUUGCUUCUUUUUCUCCUUUAGUUCCUCCUUGGUCAAUGGCUUUUUGAACCCAAGUUCUGCUUGUGCCAUUUCUCUCUCCUUUCUUUGUGCUGCAAGGCGCUCUUCAAAGCUAUUAAGGAAAAACUGUGCAGUUCGUCUGACAGCAGUCAUGUCGCCAGUAGGAACCAGAAUACCCAUUUGAAUACUUGCUUGCAGGACCUUAUCUGGAUCUUUCUCAUAAACUCCAUAGAACGUUUCCAGCAAGCCUUCUCUGAUAUUAGGACUUAUGCUUCCCAUCAUUCCAAAAUCAUAA